rnacentral:tRNA from 3 species
GCCCGGAUAGCUCAGUCGGUAGAGCAGGGGAUUGAAAAUCCCCGUGUCCUUGGUUCGAUUCCGAGUCCAGGCACCA